rnacentral:rRNA from 1 species
GACGAACGCUGGCGGCGCGCCUAACACAUGCAAGUCGAACGGAGAUAUUAAUGAAGCUUGCGAUUUAAUAUCUUAGUGGCGGACGGGUGAGUAACGCGUGGGUAAUCUGCCCAUAAGUGGGGAACAACAGUUGGAAACGACUGCUAAUACCGCAUACGCUGUCGCAAGACAGGAAAGGUGGCCUCUGAAUAUGCUGCCGCUUAUGGAUGAGCCCGCGUCUGAUUAGCUAGUUGGUGGGGUAAGGGCCUACCAAGGCGACGAUCAGUAGCCGGCCUGAGAGGGUGAACGGCCACACUGGGACUGAGACACGGCCCAGACUCCUACGGGAGGCAGCAGUGGGGAAUAUUGCGCAAUGGGGGAAACCCUGACGCAGCGACGCCGCGUGAGCGAUGAAGGCCUUAGGGUUGUAAAGCUCUGUUUUAAGGGACGAAUGUUACAGGGAGUAAUAUGUCCUGUAAAUGACGGUACCUUAGGAGGAAGCCCCGGCUAACUACGUGCCAGCCGCCGCGGUAACAC